rnacentral:rRNA from 1 species
ACGUAGGGGGCAAGCGUUAUCCGGAAUUAUUGGGCGUAAAGAGUGCGUAGGUGGUUUUUUAAGCGUGAGGUGAAAGGCAAUAGCUUAACUAUUGUAAGCCUUGCGAACUGGAAGACUUGAGUGCAGGAGAGGAAAGUGGAAUUCCUAGUGUGGCGGUGUAAUGCGUAGAAAUUAGGAGGAAGACCAGUGGCGAAGGCGACUAUCCGGGCUUUAACUGACCCGGAGGCCCGAAAGCGUGGGGAGCAAACAG